AAUGAACGUUGGCGGCGUGGAUUAGGCAUGCAAGUCGCGCGACAAGGAACCUUCGGGUUCUGGAGGAGCGGCAAACGGGGUAGUAAGGCAUCGGAACGUACCCUCUUGUUGGGAAUAGCCGCGGGAAACUGCGAGUAAUGCCCCAAUAAUCCCUACGGGGCAAAGGUCCGCCGCAGGAGGAGCGGCCGAUGUGAUACCAGCUAGUUGGUGAGGUAAUGGCUCACCAAGGCUUAGACGUCUAGGGGUGUGAGAGCAUGGCCCCACCACUGGACGUGAGGAUACUGCCCACGACACCUACGGUGGGCUGCA
rnacentral:rRNA from 1 species